rnacentral:rRNA from 1 species
UACGUAGGGUGCAAGCGUUAAUCGGAAUUACUGGGCGUAAAGGGCGCGUAGGCGGCCAACUAAGUCAGACGUGAAAUCCCUCGGCUCAACCGGGGAACUGCGUCUGAUACUGGAUGGCUUGAAUUCGGGAGAGGGAUGCGGAAUUCCAGGUGUAGCGGUGAAAUGCGUAGAUAUCUGGAGGAACACCGGUGGCGAAGGCGGCAUCCUGGACCGAGAUUGACGCUGAUGCGCGAAAGCCAGGGGAGCAAACGGG